GUCCAAUAGUCAUUUUGUCCCAUUGCUCAUGGGAAUCUCUGUGCUUCAUGGAUAACUGGAGUACAUCCUAGUGAGGCUGGGAUUUGCACAUGAGAACAAAUAGAGCUCAUGACUGACGUAGGAAGACAUAGAAUGACAAGCGGGUCAGAACGGUUGCAGAACAAAACCAGAAAUCCUAAGGAGGUUUAAUUCUCUACUGAAACACCCCAAGAAAAUUCUCAAACUUAUCUUCAUCUAAGAGCAGGGAUGAAAAGAUGUAGUGUCAUUUACAUAGUUCUCAAUGUUAUAUCCUGGCAAUCUUGUCUGAUCAAUGACAAAACCAGCAUCUAUGCAAAUGAAGAAAAUGAGAGAGAAGUGAAUGGAUACUUAUUUUGGGCUAUGAUUUAUAACAAUUGAAGACCAGUGAAGUGUACUGGAAAGAACUAAAGCCUUGGAACCAAAUGAACUCAAAUGGCGCUCUACCACAAAACAAUAUACUGACAAUUUCAUGAUCCUUGAUACUCCAUCUACAAAAUGGAAAUACCAUUA